GAUGAACGCUGGCGGCGUGCCUAAUACAUGCAAGUCGAGCGAACAGAUGAGGAGCUUGCUCCUCUGACGUUAGCGGCGGACGGGUGAGUAACACGUGGAUAACCUACCUAUAAGACUGGGAUAACUUCGGGAAACCGGAGCUAAUACCGGAUAAUAUAUUGAACCGCAUGGUUCAAUAGUGAAAGACGGUUUUGCUGUCACUUAUAGAUGGAUCUGCGCCGCAUUAGCUAGUUGGUAAGGUAACGGCUUACCAAGGCAACGAUGCGUAGCCGACCUGAGAGGGUGAUCGGCCACACUGGAACUGAGACACGGUCCAGACUCCUAUGGGAGGCAGCAGUAGGGAAUCUUCCGCAAUGGGCGAAAGCCUGACGGAGCAACGCCGCGUGAGUGAUGAAGGUCUUCGGAUCGUAAAACUCUGUUAUUAGGGAAGAACAAAUGUGUAAGUAACUAUGCACGUCUUGACGGUACCUAAUCAGAAAGCCACGGCUAACUACGUG
rnacentral:rRNA from 1 species